GUCCCUGUCGCGCAAUGGAUAGCGCGUUGGACUUUUAAUCCAAAGAUAGUGGGUUCAAUUAUACCACCUGGGAAA